UGUUUUAUAACUAGCAAAUCAAUCUCAAAUUCUUCUUCUUUAGCACUGGAAAAUCAAAGAAACCCCAAUUCUUGAGUUUUCAUUCUCCCAUCCUCUCUCUCACUCAAAUUGUUGGUGCCGCUAAGCUUUUGGCGCUGUUGUUGGGUCUCACCAGAAGUCUGUCGCUGUUGUCGCCGGCUGGGCUGUUGUCCUUCUUUCUUUCCUUUUGUCGGUACUGCCCAGGUUCUUUCACCAUUGCUGCAGUAUUUUCUCUCUCCUCUGCUUUUACGGUGCUAUUGCCGCUGCCGUGUUGCUACCGUCGGCGUUCUGCUGGUGUUGGCGGUGUUGCAGCUGCUAAUAUAGGUGAUUUAAUUCCCUCUCCUUUUACUUAUUUGCUUUGCUGCUGCCCAUGUCAGUUGGUGGUGUUGCUGCUGUAUACUACUUCUUUUUACUUUUCAGUUUUAUUUCAUUCCAAAAGAAAACCCAAUUAUGGUUUCAAGAGAUAUAAAUUAAGUUAGCAUCUUCCUCAUCUUUAUAUAAGAACUCAAAUUCAGAUUAUAAUGGGUUUCGUUGUUAUGACUUUUGUUAUGUUAGAGAAUAGCUCAAAAUUUAUGUUGUGGGUUUUAACUAUCGGUUUGUGAUUCCAAUUUCAAAAGAUAUUACUCCAAAUUCAUCAUAAUUAAGGAAAGGUUGAAGCUUUUGCUUGGAAAUUGCAAAAUUAAUCUAUUAAGACGAUAUAGUUUUAUCAACACAUCUUGUGGAUAAGCUUAGUAGUUAAGAGUUGGAAAAAUAUUCUGGUUAUAAUGCAUGCUUCUAGUUAGUAAGCUAAUAAGAGGAAUUACAUUAGGAAGUGUUAAUUAGUUUCCUCAUGUAGAAUUGCUUAGGAGUAUUUAUUGAUUAUUUUCGUGUUAUUGUUGCAAUUGAGGUGAACUGUUAAGAGGGGACUAUGGAGCUUAACCAAAUUGUGAUGAUAAGUAUUGUGAGCAUUGUUGGAGCGAUGUUUAGAGAUUGGAGAAAGAUGAUGGAUAAAAAUGAAAAGAAUACUCGCUUAGACGGUACGACUUGACAGCUUCUGCUAGGGCUACUCGUGCGGCUAGGAGAUCAUCCCAGGCUCCUAACUCGGGUGUUGGCGGUUUGAAUGAGUCAGCAUGUUGUCGAGCCAGACCAAUCUCAGGAAGACAACGACAAACGUAAAUGGUUAAAAUGUCCUCGCACUUUUGAUUGGAAGUUGACUGCACCAGCACCAGGAGGGCCACUUUCUACAGAUUUGCUAUGAGGUUAUCGAGGUCAUGUAGCGUGUUACAUUUGGGAGACAAAUAUUGAACGUGGUUGUUUGGUUAUUCAGUCACGAACACAUGCGAUUGAUCUCUUUCGAUUUGAGCCUCGUGAUGCAUGGUAUCUAUUAGUGAAAAGUAAUGGGUUGGGUCAUUUGAGGGAAUGCAUGUUUCCUCGUCAUAAUGCACCAUUAAUAUCAGCUUUUGUUGAGAGAUGACACCCUGAAACUAAUAGUUUUCAUUUACCCUUUGGAGAGAUGACAAUUACAUUACAUGAUGUAUCUUUGAUUUUGGGUCUUCCUAUUAAAGGCCUUGCUAUUAACCACCCAAUGCAACAAAAGGAAGCACGGAAUUCACUAUUUUCUUUUGUUGGUAAAUUGCUUAAUACAGAUACAAAAGAAAUAGAGUUUGAACAUGCACAUGGUGGAAUUAAGUUGUAAAAAAUUAGAGAGACUUUGAUGGAUCCAAAAGAUGAGUAUGGUGCGGAUGAUCUAGCUAGAGGCUUUUUUACUUACAUUACUAGGGUCCACUUUAUUUAUUGACAAAAUUGUAGAUCGAACAUCCACUCUAUUAUUUCCUCUAGUACGCGACCUUGUUAGUGUUAAGUCGUACUCGUGGGCUUCGGCAGCUCUUGCCUAUCUUUAUCGGGAACUUGGCAAAGCUACAAUAGCAGAGACUAAGCAACUGGCAGGAUCAUCUACUCUUCUUGAGGUUUGGAUAUAUGAACACUUUCCAAUGUUUCGACCCAUGACGAAUUCUAACUAUUUGCCCGCACCCUCGCGCUAUGAAAUGGGAUGCUCAGACUCCGACACCGAAAUUACUUUCUAUACUACAACAACACCGAUGGAGGUUAGAUGACAUAACAUCUCAAGAGGUUAUAUGGGUGCCUUAUGGUAUCAAUGCAGUACACAAAUUACCAUUAUCAUUGUAUCAUGGGUGCAUUCGUUACGCUUCCAUAAUUGAACCGUAUAUGCCGGACCGUCUUCUACGACAAUUUGGAUAUGUACAGACUCGCCCUAUGUGUCCAAUUACACCAAACAAAGAGAGCUAGCCGGCCCAUUUUUACUCCAUCGAAUAUCCGGAAUCUAUGAUGUGCUUUUGGGAUGAUCCUUCCUCCCAUUGUUUAAGUAUGCACCGUCUAGGUGAGGAUGCUUCUAAUCCAUGGGAUUGUGAUGCGGAAAACCAAGUAUCAUAUACUUGAACAUCUAUCCAAAGAUCAUUGCAUAAACUAGUAUGAAUCAAACAUUAGUAUAUAAAUAUACUUCUUGAUGCGUGAAUUGCUUUGCACACCACAACCUUCUAGUGGGAUCCUUUUAGAACGUCAAGCGUCGUUCCUCUAUUAUUGGUCCACGAACAACACUUGGAUCACCACGUAUGCUAGUACGGAAGAGAGAAAACACUCUCUUACUUUUUGAGGUGAGGGCCGAAAUGGGUGUGAAAAAACUAAGGCUUUAUUUUAUAACCGCUAUAUCAUUAUAUAACCGCUAUAUCAUUAUAUAACGUGGUUACAAAAGAGGUGUUUCAUGAGGCUUUAUUUUGCCUCAUAAUGUCAUAUAUUAUGAGCCUAAUAAACUCAUGACUCAUGAGUUACAACUCUUCCCACCCAUCAUAAAACCGCCCAACCCAUUUCAUAAAUGGAUUUGUAUAAUAUCCAAGUGCCAUUACUUGUGUGACCUCAUAGGACUCAAUAAUACUAGUAGUUGGCCCAAUCAUAUUAGUCCAACAAAUCACAAUUAGCUUCUAGCAGAAAGUUGUGAUCACCUAAUAUUAUUAAAUAUAUUAUCUCCAUAAUUUAUCCUAAUAUUAUUUAGUUUAUUACACUUGAUCGAGGAAAAAAUCCUUCGGUAUGACGUUAAAAAAAACCGAGGAACUGCCUCCUUUUUCCUCCGAAAAAUGCUAUCUUGUUUUAUUCUAUGUUUUUUAAUUGGAUUGUUCAUCCCCAUCUUUUUUUUUUUUUUUUUUUUUUUUUUUUUGUUCCAAACGAGGCAUAGAGCCAAAAAACGAAAAAACAAAACAUAAAGUACAAAACAAAAAAUAAAAGAAGAACAAGAAACUAACUAAUUAGGGAGGAACAAAGCGAGGAAAAGCUACACCCCGAAUAUCCUCCUCUAAGAUUUUGGCUAAAGCAGAAGGAACAAUGUCUAUGAAACUAAUAUGAAAAGAUUGAGCGACUCCCAUAUUGGCAAGCCAAUCCGCCGCACGGUUACCCUCCCUGUAAACAUGAACAACCUUCACCUCCCAAUCAUCCUCUAGCAAUAAGGCCCGACAUCUUCGGAUAUCAUGGAUAUAAUCACCUGCAACCGCCUCAUUGUGGCUCAAAAAUUGUACGCAAGUGAGACUAUCAAGCUGGACUUCCAGCUUUGCGAUUUUAAGAUCACGAGCAAGCAUGAGACCUUUCGUGAGAGCCAUAACUUCAGCUUUCAGAGCAUGACAAUGACCAAAGUUGGCGGAAAAACCUGAAACAAACAACCCCCGAUGAUCCCGUAUUAUAGCCCCUCCCCCCGCUGGGCCAGGGGCACCUUUAACCGCCCCAUCCGUGUUGAGAACAUACCAAUCCAUGGGAGGAUGCCACCAACGAACAUAAGCUUGGUUGGUUGUCCGGGAGUGUGUAGUACUACCUUCAAUACCCUCCCACCCUCUUCGUGCUUCAUCAAACCUGACCUGGAUAAAGGCUCCAAGGUCACUCGGUAUACCUUGCGGUCGGUCAAAAACAUGGCAGUUACGCCAUCUCCAUAUCCACCACACAGCAACCCCAAAAAGAGUAUGCCAUUUCUCAUUCACAGCUUCAUCAGUCACACUAACAUUAUGGGAGAUCCAAUCCUUUAGAUUACCUUGUAAAAAAUGGUGAGAGUUAGCUGGCCCACCUACUUUCUGCCAAACCAUGCGAGCGUGGGGGUAAUCUCGAAGGAUAUGCAAUGUUGAUUCCUCCUGUGCACCACAAAUAAAACAAUUAGGAUUGGAGGUCAUCUUGCGUUUAAAUCGGUUCAAAUUGCCGAGAACACGAUCAUGGCAAGCGACCCAAAGGAAGGCUCGUAUGCGUUGUUGAAGAGGAGCCAGCCAAAUCGCAUUCCAACAAUCAUCAUCAAGCACAUCACUUUCAUGGCGCAUUAUACUCACAGCAGAGCGAAUUGAGAAUCGCCCUUUAGAAGAAUCUCUCCAGUAGACCAAGUCUCCAGCGUCAGGAUCAUUUCGCAAUUCAUAGGCUUGAAUUCUUUUCAAAAUAUCCGGGUGAAGAUAGGGGGAGAUGAGCUCCCACUUCCAACCUAACUCAUGAUCCCACAUACUUGCCACCGUAGUCCCCACCAUAUUCGGUAAAAGUGGAGUAAUGGUCAUUGAGUUAAGAGGUUUGUCCAUAGCCUAACAAUGCUCCCAGAAUAGCGUUUUAGCGCCAUUUCCUACUGCCAUUUUUAUCCCCUCACAUAACACACGGGCAUUAUCAGUGAUGCCACGCCACACAUUAGAUGAAUUCUGUACCGGGGUGAACAUAUCCACGUCACACCUACCUUUACAAUACUUGGAACGUAAGACACGAGCCCACAACGCAUUGGGUUCCGUAAGAACACGCCAUCCUAACUUGGUCAAGAAGGCGGCAUUUGCUUGCUUAGCAGAUCGAAAGCCCAGGCCCCCUUGUUGGAGCGGUUUUUGUAGGACUUCCCAUGCAAUCAGGUGUGUACCUUUUUUCUCUUCAUUACCUCCCCAAAUGAACUUCCUUGUUUUCUUAUCCAACUCGUCACAGAUAGAGCGGGGUAAUUUAGCUGUCUGCAUAGAGUAAUACGCUAAUGUUGACAAGGUGGAUUUAGAUAAAGUAAUCCGCCCUGCUAGCGAUAAAUAUUUUGUUUUCCAGCCCGCUAGUCUCCUGUCAAGUUUUUCACACAAAUGACUGAAGGUGUCUUUCGUGACUCUAUGAGUGAGAGUCGGCAUGCCUAAGUAUAACCCAAGGUCAACAGUAGGCUCCAUAUGAAGGCAUUGGGAAAUAUCCUGUUGAACUUGUUGAGGGACAUUCUUAGAGAAGUAAACCCGAGACUUUGCAAGGCUUACCUUCUGUCCCGAAGCUUGACAGAACCGUUCUAAGCACUCAUUCACACAUAAAGCUUGUUCAAUGGUAGCCUCAGCAAACAAAACAAUGUCAUCAGCAAAAAACAAGUUGGAGAGUAAAGGACCAUUUCUACUUGCUCUAAUAGGCUGCCACUUUUGCGUUAAAAUGGCCUCUUCAAUUGUUUGGUAUAAGCGCUCCAUGCACAUCACAAAUAAAUAAGGAGAUAGGGGGUCCCCUUGUCUAAUGCCGCGGGAGGGUUUAAAACUUUGAGUCGGCUCUCCAUUCCACAACACUUGAAUAGACGUUGACGUCACACACUCCAUAAUCACGUUAACCAGUAGAAUCGGCAGGUUCAUUUGGGUAAGUGUAUCACGAAUGAAAGACCAGCGUAGGCGAUCAUACGCCUUUUCGAAAUCAAUUUUAAGAGCCAUGAUACCUUUAGAACCUUGCUUCCUUCUCAUAGUAUGGAUGACCUCCUGCAUAAUAACAAUAUUGUCUGUGAUUUGACGGCCCGGGACAAAACUUGCUUGAGUGUUAGAGAUUAGCAUCGGUAAGAGGGGUUUAAUGCGAUUUACUAACACCUUGGCAAGUAUUUUAUAAGCAACAUUGCAAAGGCCUAUAGGCCGAAACUGAGAGGCAAAUUCAGGGUUUGUGACUUUAGGGAUUAACACAAGGUGUGUUUCAUUGAGUUUGACAGAGAGACCUUUCCCCUCAAGAGCAGGUAAAACCAUUUCGUAGACGUUAUGUGCCACAAGAUCCCAAUUUUUCUGAUAAAAGAGAGCCUGGAAUCCGUCGGGGCCGGGGGCCUUAAGGGCUCCCAUGGUCUUGAUAACUUCGUCGAUCUCUAAUUUUGAAAAUGGUUUAGCCAAAGCAUCCCAGUCCCGGUGAGAUAACUCAGGGAAAAUGUCAUAAGGGACGUUGAAAAAAUCUGGCUCGUCAUCCGCAGCAAACAGACGAGUAAAGUAGUUGACAAAAUGCUCUUUGACCAACUCCUUAUCAUGGAUCCACUCCCCCUCAUGAUCUUUAAUUGCUUCAAUUUUAUUUUUCCAUCUACGCAUGAUUGUGCUUAAAUGAAAGAACGUGGUGUUACGAUCUCCAUUUUUCAGCCAGUCAACACGGGAUUUUUGGUACCAAAGUGUUUCCUCCCUAUCUAGCAUAUCAUCUAACUCAUGCCGCAAACGAGCUUCAAGUUUAAUGAGGCCCCUGUCCCGUUUUUCCACCAAAAGUUUUUGGAUGCCCGCAAGUCGUGCUAGAAGAGCACGUUUUUGGUGAAAGAUGUUCCCAAAGACUUCUUUGUUCCAGGUUGACAAACCAUCAGCAAGUUUAGAAAGCGCAAUAGAGAGUGGGCUCGACCUUUCCCAACUUCGUUCAAUAAAGGCUUUGAAGGUCUCAUGAGUCAUCCAAGCAGCCUGGAACUUAAAGGGUUUGUUUACAUGGGAAAUAGGCGCAAAACCAUUCGGGGAAAUGAAAAUAGGGCUAUGGUCAGAUUGUAUAGCAGGAAGAUGCUUAACCUUCGCAUUGUGGAAUCGGAUGCCCCACUCACUGUUGCAUAAGGCUCUGUCAAGUCGAGCACUCGUACGAGUUUCAGGAGAAAGACCCCGAGCCCAUGUGUGCUUGGCACCAGAAAACUCAACCUCAAUCAGGUCCAUACUUUCCACCCAAUUGUUAAAUUUUUCAGCACGUCGAAUAGUCUCCCUACACGCACUACUCCUUUCAGAGGGAAAGCGUGUGUCGUUAAAGUUUCCUGCGAUUAGCCAUGGGUGAUUGUGAGUGCUAGCAAAAUCCUCCAACUCUUUCCAUAAACGUUGACGCUUUGAGGGGUCUGGACUAGCAUAGACUGCUGUAAAAUACCAAGGUGGGUCUCCGAGUCUCGUGACAUUCAUCGUUAUGUGUUGAUCAUGUUUAAUAAUAGGCUCAAUAGAAACCAAUUCAGGUUUCCAGUAGACCCAUAUCCCGCCCGAAAAUCCCGUAGCAUCCAUACGCGUGUGCCCAGAGUAACCAAUACUUUUUGCAAUAGAUAAAGCUUGAGCGCCUCCCAUAUGCGUUUCUACAAGGGCGAGGACAUUGGAACGGCCGAAACAAAAUUGCGGCUUCCCGCACCUUGAACAUUCCACACCAUGCAAGUUAUAGCAAGUGAGUUCGGAACGAAAUUCGGAGUUUGUAAAUUCAUGGGAACAGGUAAAGUUGGAAGAGAAGACAUAAAAGCUUGGCUUAUGAGUCGCAUCAGGCGAUGAAUCUCAUUGGGAAUGAGCAGAGUCAUUACUAACUCCCUGGGCAUCGAGAUAGGCUCCAGCCAAGAUUCUAUCCUUAUCUCUAGAACAUGGGUCAGGGGGUCGGUCACAUAGAGGUAAGGUCUCUCCAUCACAUGGUUGAUGAAGAGGGUUUUCUCGGGCGGGAUAUCCAACUGUAUAACAGUGGAGGGAGUCAGGAAUUCGAGUGACAUCCUGCAAGGACUCUUGGGAAAGUGAAUGGAGAGGCGUAGAGGUAACAGUCUUAGGAGAAGAUGGCGAGGGAGUAACUUGUGGAGUGACUUGAAGGUUUUCUUUACCCGAAGACGGAACGAAGUUGGGCUUGUGGAGUUGGGCUUGGGUUGGCUCAGAAGGGAUAUUCAAAUCAAUCUCUGUGAGGGCGAAAGAAGGAUAGUUGGGGGUAGUGACUGGGGUGUCCGAUUUGGAUUUGGAAAUAACUUUAUUAGACUUCUUUUUACUUUGCUUAGGUGAUUUACUUCCCAAAUUAAAGGAAACCGGGAUGCUGUUAUCUUUGGUUUGAGGUAAAGAAUCUUCACCAAGGUCAACAGUAGCGAAGGAAAUAUCUUCCACAAUAUUGAUAGGAUUGGGGUCCUUAAUUGUCGCAACAACCUCCUCAUUUUCCGUUUCUAAAACAGAGAAACGAGAUCCACGCCCGUUAAUUUCGCGGGAUGGUUGUGAUUUUGGUGGAAUUGACUCAUUUUUUCCAGCGCUAGAAACCGUCGCCCUUGGGUUUGGGAUUAUUGGAGCAACGCCUUGAGCUGGUGGAUCCACCACCACAUUAGGUCGUUCCGGGCGUGGGAUCCUUUUCCUACCAGGUUUUUUGACUAACAUCCAGGACCCAAACGCCUCUUGUUCUUCAGGCUUGGUUAAUGUGGCGCCCUGGGGGACAAAAGCUGGAUUAUGGAUGGGCUCAAUUACAUGACCCAUCUCGUCCAUAACAUGAUCUUGCUCUUUAGAGCAUUCGGAAGCAGUAUGUCCCAUUUUGCCACAGUUAUAACAAAUCAUCUUAAUCCCUUCGUACUGAAUUUUCCAAACUCUACCUUUUAGCCAAAACUUAGAUAGAAGAGGUUUGGUUAUGUCAAUUUCGACACUUAAGCGGGUAAAUUGACCACGUUCAGCUUGGGUUGUUGUUUUGUCAACACGAAGGACCCGUCCAAUUUUAGAGCCAAUUUUGUGUAGAAACGUGGUAUCAAAGUACUCCACAGCAAGGUUAGGAAUACGAACCCAAGCAGUAAGGACUUUGAUGGGGGCCUCGUCAGGCACAAAAUUAGGCACCCAUUUACGUAUUGUGAGAUAGUUAUCGUCAAUAAGCCAUGGCCCCUGGGUUAACACAUAUUGGUAAUCAGCAUCAUUGGAGAAUCGAGCUAUAUAAUAUUGGCAUCCAACAUCAGUGAGGGUCAAUUCUCCCUUGAGGUUCCAUUUGCGCUUGAGUCGUCUCAUAAGACCCAUAUAUCCUAUCUUGCCAUCCAGUAACUUAAUAAUGAGAGCUUGUUUCCAAGGUUUCCUCAUUCUUAUUUUCUCGGCUUUAGAAAGUAAAAUAGCCGGACAUCUUUCAUCUUCAGUAAAGUUCUCUGGAAUGGAGUCAUCAUCCGAUACUUCGUCAUCCUCUUCAAUAGGGAUAAAGGAAGAAACAGGAGACGAGGAAGGGUUGAGGCCCCGGACCAUAUCUCGGAAGGAUGGGUGCGGGGGGGAAGUAGGGGGAGGAAUUUCAUUGUGGUUAGCAGAUAGGACAGGAUCAUCAGUUACCAUAGGCUGGAGAUCCCCCUCAGUCGGUUUUGUGUAACGCAGGCCACAGGAAAGGAAACCGUGAGGCUGCGCGCAUCACUAACCAUCCCCAUCUCCUUCGUUCCUCCUUCCUCCAUCCUCCCUCCUCCUCCCCCCUUCCUCAAAUCUUCGACUUCUUCAUCAUCAUCAUUGCAAACUCAACCUGCUUCGACAUUAUAUGCGUCAACAACGACGUACCAUGGCGGCGAUGCAAUCGCAAUCACAGUCACUCUCCACUAAUUCUGGGAAUUCGCUGUCGAUUGGUGUCAGAAACUUGCCGGAGGAUGAGUUUUGAAGUUAAUGCAAGGAUAGCAAGUUAUCCCUCCAUUUUCCAUUUUCUCUCUCCUCACCUUAUGUGGAAGUUUCUAAGGGAAUCGCAGACUUUCCCCAAUACAACUCCAUCUCGCGAACUCGGACCAUCACAAAGACUUGCCAAUAGAACCCAACAAAUUGAACAGUCAGCCAUUUCUUCAUAAAACAAGGCACACAAUAUUACGUUAUCCUCCUACACCAAACUCAUGGAACUCCAAUUUGAUCCUUCCAAUCAUGCUGUUAAGUGAAUUGAUAUAUGACAUGUUGCUUUGUAGUUUGAAC